rnacentral:rRNA from 1 species
AGCGAACGCUGGCGGCAGGCCUAACACAUGCAAGUCGAACGAACCUUUCGGGGUUAGUGGCGGACGGGUGAGUAACACGUGGGAACGUGCCUUUAGGUUCGGAAUAACUCAGGGAAACUUGUGCUAAUACCGAAUGUGCCCUUCGGGGGAAAGAUUAAUCGCCUUUAGAGCGGCCCGCGUUUGAUUAGCUAGUUGGUUGAGGUAAUGGCUCACCAAGGCGACGAUCAGUAGCUGGUCUGAGAGGAUGAUCAGCCACAUUGGGACUGAGACACGGCCCAAACUCCUACGGGAGGCAGCAGUGGGGAAUCUUGCGCAAUGGGCGAAAGCCUGACGCAGCCAUGCCGCGUGAAUGAUGAAGGUCUUAGGAUUGUAAAAUUCUUUCACCGGGGACGAUAAUGACGGUACCCGGAGAAGAAGCCCCGGCUAACUUCGUG